UCCACAGUAAGGCCAGCAGGGAUGAGGAGA
rnacentral:piRNA from 1 species